AAAGCUCGUAGUCGAAUUUCGGGCAGUUGUUACCUCUUUCGGGGGGCUAGGGACUGUCCUCUUGCGGUCCUCGGUGACUUAACUGUCGUCGUUGGCUAGCAAGUUGUUUACUUUGAGGAAAUUAGAGUGCUUCAAGCAGGUUUUUGUCUUGAAUAUAAAAGCAUGGAAUAACAUGAUACGGUCUUACGCUGUCUUGUUGGUUCUACAAGGUGUAAGGCAAUGAUGAAUAGGAGCAGUCGGGGGUAUUCGUAUUUAACGGCUAGAGGUGAAAUUCUUAGAUUCAUUAAAGACGGGCUAAUGCGAAAGCAUUUACCAAGGAUGUUUUCAUUGAUCAAGAACGAAAGUUAAGGGAUCGAAGACGAUCAGAUACCGUCCUAGUCUUAAUCAUAAACUAUGCCGACUAGAGAUUGGAGAACGUUUAUCAUUAUGACCUCUUCGGCAUCUUAGGAGAAAUCAAAGUCCUUGGGUUCCGGGGGGAGUAUGGUCGCAAGUCUGAAACUUAAAGGAAUUGACGGAAGGGCACCACCAGGAGUGGAGCCUGCGGCUCAAUUUGACUCAACACGGGGAAACUUACCAGGUCCAAACAUAAUAAUGAUUGACAGAUUGAGAGUUCUUUCUUGAUUCUAUGGAUGGUGGUGCAUGGCCGUUCUUAGUUGGUGGAGUGAUCUGUCUGAUUAAUUUCGUAACGAACGAGACCUUAACCUGCUA
rnacentral:rRNA from 1 species